rnacentral:lncRNA from 1 species
UAGUUUCUCGACAUAGAAUCGUGGCAGGUAAUCAGAUAGCCACGGUUUUUUGGCUUAUGUACCCACGAUUUGUUAGUGGCUUUUUCGUGGCUAUACGGUGUAUUUUUACUAGUGCAAGCGGACCUCUUGCAUUAGUGUUUGGAUUCGUUGGUCUCUGCAUCUUCUGAUUCUCCACUCUCCUUCAACAAGUACCUCACUUAUUGUUGCAUUCCUAGGAAUGCCAAGCUUCUGUGUGCCAAUUUCUCCGGUUAUCUCUAUCAACCGACCCCUUUCAUGCCAUAAAU